AUACGUAGGGGGCGAGCGUUGUCCGGAAUGAUUGGGCGUAAAGGGCGCGUAGGCGGCGCGGUAAGUCUGGAGUGAAAGUCCUGCUUUCAAGGUGGGAAUUGCUUUGGAUACUGCCGCGCUUGAGUGCAGGAGAGGUUAUCGGAAUUCCCGGUGUAGCGGUGAAAUGCGUAGAGAUCGGGAGGAACACCAGUGGCGAAGGCGGGUAACUGGACUGCAACUGACGCUGAGGCGCGAAAGUGUGGGGAGCAAACAGGAUUAGAUACCCUGGUAGUCCACACUGUAAACGAUGAAUGCUAGGUGUAGGAGGUAUCGACCCCUUCUGUGCCGCAGUAAACACAGUAAGCAUUCCGCCUGGGGAGUACGGUCGCAAGAUUAAAACUCAAAUGAAUUGACGGGG
rnacentral:rRNA from 1 species